GAUGAACGCUGGCGGCGUGCCUAAUACAUGCAAGUCGAGCGACGAACCAGGGCUUGCCCUGGGGUAAUGUUGCGAACGGGUGAGUAACACGUGGGUAACCAACCCCGCUAACCGGGUCAACCCGCGGCAACAAGGGCUAAUACAGGAUGUGUUAUCUGGUCUUCGGCACAGUUCGUAAGGGAAGCUCGGGCCUCCGUACCCGGAGGGGCCCGCGCCCCAUUCGUUAGUUGGUGAGGUAACGGCUCACCAAGACCGCGAUGGGUAGCUGGCCUGAGAGGACGAUCAGCCACACUGGGACUGAGACACGGCCCAGACUCCUACGGGAGGCAGCAGUGGGGAAUCUUGCGCAAUGCGCGAAAGCGUGACGCAGCAACGCCGCGUGGGGGAAGAAGGCCUUCGGGUUGUAAACCCCUUUCAGGAGGGACGAAGGUUCGGCGGUGAAUAGCCGUCCGGACUGACGGUACCUCCACAAGAAGCCCCGGCUAACUACGUG
rnacentral:rRNA from 1 species